rnacentral:rRNA from 1 species
GGAUCCAGACUUUGAUUAUGGCUCAGGAUGAACGCUAGCUACAGGCCUAACACAUGCAAGUCGAGGGGAAACGGCAGCUUAGCUUGCUAAGCUGGACGUCGACCGGCGCACGGGUGAGUAACGCGUAUCCAACCUGCCCCACGGUGAGGGAUAACCCGCGGAAACGCGGCCUAAUACCUCAUGGUCUCCGAGCUUGCCAUCAACCUUGGAGUAAAGAUUCAUUGCCGUGGGAUGGGGAUGCGUCUGAUUAGCUUGUUGGCGGGGCAACGGCCCACCAAGGCAACGAUCAGUAGGGGUUCUGAGAGGAAAGCCCCCCACAUUGGAACUGAGACACGGUCCAAACUCCUACGGGAGGCAGCAGUGAGGAAUAUUGGUCAAUGGGCGAGAGCCUGAACCAGCCAAGUAGCGUGCAGGAAGACGGCCCUAUGGGUUGUAAACUGCUUUUAUGCGGGGAUAAAGCGGGCGACGUGUCGCCCUUUGCAGGUACCGCAUGAAUAAGGACCGGCUAAUUCCGUGCCAGCAGCCGCGGUAAUACGGAAGGUCCGGGCGUUAUCCGGAUUUAUUGGGUUUAAAGGGAGCGCAGGCCGGGUAUUAAGCGUGUUGUGAAACGUAGGCGCCCAACGUCUGCACCGCAGCGCGAACUGGUGCCCUUGAGUACGCACGACGUUGGCGGAAUUCGCCGUGUAGCGGUGAAAUGCUUAGAUAUGGCGAAGAACUCCGAUUGCGAAGGCAGCUGACGGGAGCGCUACUGACGCUCAUGCUCGAAAGCGCGGGUAUCGAACAGGAUUAGAUACCCUGGUAGUCCGCGCGGUAAACGAUGGAUGCCCGCUAUUUGCGCAUUAGCGCAAGUGGCCAAGUGAAAACGUUAAGCAUCCCACCUGGGGAGUACGCCGGCAACGGUGCAACUCAAAGGAAUUGACGG